rnacentral:rRNA from 1 species
GACGAACGCUGGCGGCGUGCCUAAUACAUGCAAGUCGAACGCAGUGGGGACGGGUGAGUAACACGUGGGUAAGCUCCCAUCAGAGGGGAUAACACUUGGAAACAGGUGCUAAACCGAUACGGAUGGCGGAACGCGCGGUGCAUUAGCUAGUUGGUGGGGUAACGGCUCACCAAGGCAAAGAUGCAUAGACGGCCUGGGAGGGUGAACGGCCACACUGGAACUGAGACACGGCCCAGACUCCUACGGGAGGCAGCAGUGGGGAAUCUUCGGCAAUGGACGAAAGGCUGACCGAGCAACGCCGCGUGAGUGAAGAAGGUUUUCGGAUCGUAAAACUCUGUUGUUAGAGAAGCGUUAUCCGACCAGAAAGCCACGGCUAACUACGUGCCAGCAGCCGCGGUAAUAC